rnacentral:rRNA from 1 species
AACGAACGCUGGCGGCAUGCCUAACACAUGCAAGUCGAACGAUCCCUUCGGGGCUAGUGGCGCACGGGUGCGUAACGCGUGGGAACCUGCCCUUAGGUUCGGAAUAACUCAGAGAAAUUUGAGCUAAUACCGGAUAAUGUCUUCGGACCAAAGAUUUAUCGCCUUUGGAUGGGCCCGCGUUGGAUUAGCUAGUUGGUGGGGUAAAGGCCUACCAAGGCGACGAUCCAUAGCUGGUCUGAGAGGAUGAUCAGCCACACUGGGACUGAGACACGGCUCAGACUCCUACGGGAGGCAGCAGUGGGGAAUAUUGGACAAUGGGCGAAAGCCUGAUCCAGCCAUGCCGCGUGAGUGAUGAAGGCCUUAGGGUUGUAAAGCUCUUUUACCCGGGAUGAUAAUGACAGUACCGGGAGAAUAAGCCCCGGCUAACUCCGUG